GGGGCAGUGAGUUCUCAUCAAGAGCCAGUGGACUCUCAUCCAUCUCUUCUGCCUAAAACAUUAGGAUCCUAAUUAUGAGGCCUCUACAAAGUGAAUUCCACUCAAGAACACAGGUAAUGGAGAUGGAGAAGCUAUUUUCUUUUUCAUGGUAUACAACGAAUUUGAUCAUUCCAUUGCCACUUGACACUGUCAGGAAUCCAGCUGAGAGCUCUGUCAUAGACUGACUGAAGUCUUCUGUUUAAACCUUCUGGAUCCAACAUGGUAUUAAUAUAAACUCCACCAUUUCUUUCUGUGGG
rnacentral:lncRNA from 1 species